GGCGGAGAGCUGGAUGGAGCGCGCCUUGGCUUGCUGGCCUUGGCCGCAGCUCCUCCGAAGAACCUGGGCGCCCACGCGAGAAUCUCCCCAUCAGGUUGUCUCUUCAGGGAUGACAUCAUCAUUCACCUCCUUGCCUUCGAGAACCACCUGUUGAUGCCCAACCCCGCUGAUGCCCAGCGCCGCUGCCGAGGUGCUUGCUGCUCAUCUCCACCUUACCGUACGCACCCCUCCUGGAGGCGAGGACACGGGAGUGCCGAUUCCUGGGUUCCCACCAGCAUCCCAAGCAGCCCCUGGCAGAGACCCCCCUCUCUGGAUCAGGAUGACGGAAGCUGAAGAGGACCAGACCCGACCAGCCAGCUGCUCCUCUUGACAAAAGGCUAAAACCAAUGCCCUAGUGAGGGGGCAUUGGCUGCUGCCCCCGACCUUUGCUGUGCUUGUGCCUCUUGCUUUGACUACUUUCCUGUAAGUCUCUGCUUGUGUUAACGUGCCAGCGACCUGGAGUGUUUCCCUCCCCAAGAAGGGGUCAGUCUUCCUCAGCUGACCCUGUUGUUGCCCACACGAUGUCCUGAAUGGAGGGAUCCCUCUGGGGACUUCUCAGGAGGGGGACCUGGGCCGAGGGCUCCACCAGCAUCUCUCUGGCAAUUCCAAGGCCCGCGUGGGCUUCUGGAAUGAGCAUGAGCCCUGACGCCGUGGGCAUCCCCGCCUCUUUGGGGACCUCCCUCCCCGUCCUUUCUGGGGAGUGGCGAUGAGAAGAGCAGCCUCCCAGGGUUGUUGUGAGUAUCCAGUGAGCUCAAGUAGCCGGGGCGGCAGGGCUGGGCAUCCAGGAGGCGGCCGACAGAUGUUUGUUGAAGGCUCAGUAGGUAGGUCAGUCCAUCCCCAUGUGUCUCACUUGUCUUAACGGCCUCUUAUUUAUUCUCCCACAGCGCUUCGACAGCCCCUUCCAUGGGGCUCUCCUUGCACAGGUAGGGGCGCCGCCAAGAAGGGUGAUGGGCUGACUUGAAUAGGAACGUGAAUCACGCAUGCGGUCAUUUCCAGAGCGCUUUCUAUGUUGUUCGAAUACGUUAUUUCGGUGUCAAACACACAUGUGACGAGGCAGCCUCCCAGACGAGAAUGAGCUCUGCAUUGACAAGUCAUUUUAAAGAGGCGGGUGGGGACUGAGCACCCAUCCUAUGGGACAGCGUUUAUUCACAUUUGCAGUGAGGGCGCUGAGGCUGGAGGAAUGUAAGUAUUUUGUUGCAUUGCUGGCAAGACAAGGGGUUGGAGUUGGACCCUGGGUGACGUUGGAGCUGCCCAUUAACCCCCCCUGGCCCACAGUUAAGGCCGAGAGCUUUUGAUUUCCAAUCAAGCACCCGACAGUGGGACAGUGUAUUUGAACUCCUCACUGCCCAGGGUGGUCUUGGGGGUCUGGGUGGCCCCAAUGUCGCUCCCAUGUGCUGGCUGUACCUCUCAAUAAUCGUGUGACCUUACACAAGUUGCUUAACUCCUCCAGGUCUCAGUUCCUUUCAUGGUCUAAAUGAGGAUUAAAAAAAACAAAACAAAACAAAACAAAAAACCCACCCGCCUUUAGCUCCCCCACAGGGUGCCUUUGAGGACCAAACGAUGGAACGACUAUGAAAGUGCUUUGUAAAUUGCUGUGGAAAUUGCAGGGUCCUUCACAGGCCGAGCUUGUCCCUCAUCAUUUGCAUGCCCAGCCCUGUUCUCUCUCGUCAUAAUUGGGCCAGCACCCAGUAGGUGCUGUGAGUGUUUGUGCUCAAUAAAGGAAUUUCAAAAUGAAUAAAAACAGAAUUAAUCCAACAAACCUUUUCUGGAAAACCGACAAUAUGCCCAGCACACCAGGCCUGGUAUGUGAUACAAAGAUGAUGCAAACAGUCUCUUGGAAGCUAAUUGGGACCCUCCUUUGACCGGCGCUUUUUUUUCGUCCCCUUUUAAGCUAACCAGUUUUGUCCAGACAAGACAAAACAACUCAGGCCCCUUUGAGAAGCCCAGCUUGGCGUGGACAAUGGCUCCCGGGCCUCUGAAAGGGCCUGAUUGGAUUAUAUGGCAAAUGAAGGUGGAAGGGUGACUUGGAAGGUGACGAAUGAAGUGGGCGGAGACCUGCUUUGAGUUAAUCCAGGCUAUUAGGCGGGAACCUUUUGUCUUCCAGAGGCUGGCAGAGCUUUUACCAGCACUCUUUACGUCCUGCAUGUAAGGACGCAUAAUUCAUGGUCAGUGAAAUCCAGGCCCCGGUGAGACCGGAGUGGGCCGGAAAACCUGGCUGCCCACUACCGGCGAGUAAUUACAGCGAACGUUUGCGUCUCCUUUCGCUCUCAGCAAAGGCCGUUUUGCAGCUGGCAAUUCAUUGGAACCUCACAACUCCCUGUCCCAACCUGGGGCUGGCCUGCCUCCUCCCGAGGGCACAGCGCCGUCAAGCGGCCCUUCAGAUCGGGGUCUCCUGGCACAUUCGCACCCCCAUUGAAAAGGAAGCGGUGUCGCCCCUCCGGCCACCAGUCAGACCCCCUGGUUUCCUAACUGUUCUCUCCACAGCCUGAGCCCCCCGGGCUCCUCCUGUCUUCUCCUUUCUGGCCACUACCGUCUCUCUCUUUCCUUUCGCAGCCAAGCUUCUCCAAAGGCCUGUCUCCACUUGCUGUCUUCCUUCCUCACCUCCAUUUCCUCUUCAACCCACUGCUUCCUGCCCUCUCUGCUCCGGCGAGCGGCUCUUACUAAGGUAAUGACUUUUCUGUAGCUUAAACCCGGACACCUUUCUGGCUCAGGGACACACGGACACUUGGACACAUUCCUGGUCUUCCUCUCACGCAGCUCGGGGGGGGGGGGCCUGGCCCACAUCUGUGGACACGCCCUCCCUGUAGAUGUCGCCGGGACACCUGCUCCCGGCGCCCCUAGUUCUUAGCUUCCCCUCAGGACCUUGCAUGUCCAGAGCUCCCAGCUUCUGGAACUUGCCUCUUGCCGGCGUGCCCCAGACUGGAGCCCUGGCCAGCCCACCUAGUGUGAGGGCCCUGGGCUCAGUUUUUCCAAGCCACCUGUUCUCCGUUGUGAAAUUGAGUUAAUAAUGUAGCUUGGCAAGUCAGGUGGGAUUAUCUUGCAGGUAAGAACCAGACACUGUUGGAGGGGCUUGAAAUAAGGUCAUUAAAGUAUUUGUGAGAAAAUAUAAUUAGAGUGGCCAUCAGAUAUUCUUACAGGUUAAGUUCCCACGGGAGGACCACAGAGAGAAGAAAGAAGUGGAGAAGGGAGGGGGCGGGCGGCGGGGGGAGAUAAAGGAGAAAAGAAUGAGAGAGGGCACUAAAGGCAAUAGAGUAGGGAAGGGAGACUCAGAGAAUAUUAACGACUACCGAAAACACAUCCAGAGAAAGGUUUCCUCUAGUGUCAGGUUGGGCUAAAAUAAACAGGAAAAAGGUUUUAAAUUAAUUAUCCUAGUGACAAAUCCCAGGAAGCUUUCAAAUCAAAUUGCCCCGAGUUGGGGGGGGGGUUAUAACUGCUAUCAAGUUUAACCUCUUUACCUCUUUCACCCCGACAAGACCCUUGGCCCUUGGCUGGUGAUUAAAUCCCGAAGGUGCUUGAAGUCUUUCAAAGAAUGAAUGGCCACCAGAAAGAGCCCGCUCCCUCCCCCCAGCUGCGUUUUUCACUUUUCUUCCACUUUCCGCCCUUUUCCCUUAAUGAACACAGGGCUGGGCUUGGGCCUCGUCAAGGAAGAGGCUGCAGACGUUAAUGAGGUAGCUGCUGGAUUCCAGGAUUCCUCUUGUAAGGAGCCUUCUUUGUCUGCGAAGGAAAAAAACACUGAUUAUCAUAAUGAGGCAGAGUGGCGUCUGCAGGGCAGGGGCCACGGUCCUGAGCCCACACUUGUGAUCUCGGGCCGGGGCCCAGGUUCCCUUUGCUCCUCAUUGAAGGCCCGGGGAGCGGGGUUGAAAGUGGAAGGCUGCUGCGGGGGUGGGGCUGCUUGGCAGAAAGUGCCUUUGUUGGGCCCACAGGCAGAUGCACUGGGCAGAGGCGCCAUCUCCGUGUGGGGCUCGUCAUCCCAGAGCCCAGGACAACGGGGUGUGCGGGUCCAAGCCCAGCAUGCACCUGACUUGUCUCAGGACCCACUGGACACUUACAAACAAGCUCACCAAAGGUAGACAGGUGCCAGGUCACAGGGGUAGCACCCGUGGGAUUACCGCAGAGGCACAAGAUGCCCGAUCCAGGUCAGGAGGUGAUGGAGUAUCAGCACCCCUCAGUGUGGAAGGGUGCAGCUGAGGGCUCACUUGGGGGUCCCACGGACCUAGCAGAGUGAGGUUCAGCUCCCGUUUGGGCCGGCGGGUGUGCCUCUAGCCUGGAACUUGCCCUCGUGUGUCCCAGUUCCGGACAUUUCUCACCCGAGGCAGAUGAGUCGAUUAAGUGCCAGGCUUUAAGCAGACUUGCAGCCAAACGGGAAAGGGAAAACAAAGCUAAGCAAGGUGGUUGGAGCAAGAAAACCAGUCGUAGGAAGCUCACGGGCCUCCCUUAACUUCUCUGCCUGCUGGAGGUGUGGGUCAGAGCUCUGGCCUCGCCCCUGUGAGCGAAAGUUGCUCUCUGGCUCCCCAAUAAAAACAUGGAGGGACUUACACCUUCUGGAGGCGUCGCCCAGACUAGGGGGCUGGAGAAGGAAAUAAUAGAGCCGUUUCUGGUGUUUUUACAUGAUAGGAUGCAUUUUAGAAAAAAAAAGUAACUCCUAGGUCCCUUCUCCCCACACAUCCCGGUAAGGAACAUGCAAGCCCCAGGCCAUGCAGACCCAGCAGUGAGGCACCUGUGAGGGUGGGAGGCUCGAGCUGGCGGGACCUUGGCAGUUUGCGCGCUUUCCUCGAGCCCCAACAGCCUGGCUCCCGCCCUCUCUGCCUGGGUUUCUGGACGAGAGUCGUCCAUCUUUAGCUUUUCUGAGUUCGCCAGCAAAGGGGUCUGAGCCCAAGGCUGCCUUGAGUGUGGGCGUGGCAUCCAUGCGUGUGCCUGUGUGCAGGGGACCCCUGUGUCCCACUCUUCCGGGCCAGAGGACCUGGAGGGCGUCCUGUGCUGGCCCCAGAACCCCCAGGGCCCACUGGUCUCAACAUGCAUCACUAAGUCAGCCUCCAAGGCCUGGCCGUGAGCUCUGGUUUUUCGCUGUGACUGUUCCUGCUGUUCCUGCCUCUGUCCUCCACACCCCCUGCUCUCUUCCCUUCCCCUUCCAUCACCCCUUCCUAAUCCGGUGUUCUGGGGGUGCCCUAGGUCAGCCCAUACCUUCUUUGGGUGUCCCAGCACCAGCUUGGCACCACGUGGGGUUCAGUAAGAGUAUGUGGGAUGUCUGUUUGGACAGAUGAGUCAAUGAAGGACCUGGACUUACACUCAGGCUGCUAGAGGGGAUGCUCCGGGUUAGAGGCAGGUCAGAGGGGUGGGGGAUGGUGGAUUUCUGGGUAGGGAGGAGUGGGUGUUGCCCCUCCUGAGCCCCAUUGGAGCGGGGUCUUGCCAGUCUCGCCCCUUCAUUCACUCGUGCGUCCAUCCCGUCAUUCAACAGUUGAUCCUUACUGAGCAAGCCCACCGCCCGGCCCCGGGCUGGACCCCUGCCACGCUAGCCUGUCCCUUGAUAGCCUCUGCCCCCGGGAGGAUGGGCCGGGGGGUUGCACCUGCUGAGGACAGCCCUGCUGUCCCAGCACUGGAGCAGUGAGUGACUCCUGCUCCGUAGCGGCAGGCCAGAGGGUGCAAGGUGGCUGGGGACUUGUGGCACAGCCAGCCCCUGCUGCCCGCCCUGCGUCCCACACUCAGCCUGUAGCUGAAUGCUGGCUCUUCGGGACCCGAACAGUGGUGUGUGUCCCCGUGGGCUCUGGCCACACAGGUCUCCCUCUUGAGGUGGGGUCUGUGACCUGGACCCCUCCCUCCAUGAUAACCUUCCUCCUUUUUGGGCAAAACCCAGCGCCUUUGACCUCUAGCAAAAGAUGGUGGCGGGAACCUCCAGGAAGCUCUGCAGCUGCGCCCCAGCUGCCUACCUGUCUGCUCUGCCCGGGGCCCCUCCAUGGGCCCCCACAGUCUGGGUGGGUUGCCCUCUGGACCCCUGCUUGCCUCAGUCUCUUGCUCAGCCUGACCCACUGCCCUUCCUCUGUGCCCAGGUCAUCCUGCUCAUGACCCUCUGGGCCCUGCUGCCCAGCCCUCUGUCUCACAGGGCAGUUUGCUGUACCGAGUCCACACCUGUGUCACCUGGCCCCGCCUGCUGCUUCAGCCACCUUUCACCUUCUUGCCUCUGGCCCUAAGUACCCCCCACCCCUGCCAGCCCAAGGAGCCGCCCCUCCGCCCCCGUCCCCCAGUGCUCCUGGGGUGCCCACAGGUCUCCAGUGUCCGAGGGACAGUCCCAUGCUGGUCAGCCACCUCUCCCCACUGUCCUGGAAUGCCUCUUCCCACUGGCCUGGGUUCCCGGGGUCUGAGGGCCCUGUGCCUGCCCUUCUCCCACAGACCCCUGUUGUCCUGCCACGCAGGUGUUCCCGCAGCCCACCCUGUCCCCGCUCGCCCUGGGCUCUGCCCACCCCAGGCCACCCCAAGCCUCAAGCUUUUCCCGUCACUGCUCAUCCCCAUGAGCCACCUCCCCACACCGAGAACCAGACCCCAGGUUGACCCUCAGCUGGGUCGGCUGAAGAACCGGAUGGAAGAGGCAGAAGAGUCCCCGAGGACCCCCGCCCUGGACCCCUGCCCUGGACCGAGCCCUCCUUCCAGAUGGCCACCUGGCUUCUCCUGACUGGCCUGCCGCCUUCCUCCUGGUUUGGGCCGAAGCCACCCCCGGGAUUCUUCGUGGGAAGGGACCUCCGACGCAACCCCAGCCCCCUGCCCCCAGAGAACCCCUCCACAGCCACGGGGACGCCCUGCACACACUCCCACAGGACAGGCUGGACCCAAAGACUCUGGACCCGGGCUGCCCCUGCGAGGAGGGGCGCGCCCUCCUCCGCCUCCCCUGCAGUAGCCACCCACCCUUUGACUGAUGGACUUCACUAAUCAGAGGGCCAGACACUCGGGCUUGACCCCCCUGCCCACCCUCACGAACCCUGAGACUUAGGGGUCCAGCUGCGCCUUCGACGUCUGCAUCUGUGACCUGGGGCUCCCACACCUACCUCACAGGGUUGUUGUGAGGGGCUUGUGAUGCUGUUGGACUGUGCCUGACCUGGGGUGUGACACACACCCUGUUGUGCCCUCAAUAAAUGUGUUUUUUGCCUUAACAAA